rnacentral:rRNA from 1 species
UACAUGGGGUGCAAACGUUGCUCGGAAUUAUUGGGCGUAAAGCGCGCGUAGGUGGUUGCUCAAGUCGAAUGUGAAAUCCCCCGGCUUAACCGGGGAAGUGCAUCCGAAACUAGGCGACUAGAGUACUAAAGAGGGUCGCGGAAUUCCCGGUGUAGAGGUGAAAUUCGUAGAUAUCGGGAGGAACACCGGCGGCGAAGGCGGCGACCUGGUUGGAUACUGACGCUGAGGCGCGAAAGCGUGGGGAGCAAACAGG